rnacentral:sRNA from 1 species
AUGUAUUUUUAAUGUGCUCCCCAAGAAGUCCUUACAUUCUGCUGCAUUGACAAACCUGUGGCCAAGUUUUAGGCCUAGGUUCUAAUUAAGCUUAAUUCUGGAGGCGAAGUCUCGGGGGGGGACACCCAGACCCUCCUCAGCCCUCAAGUCUCAUGGUAUUCCCCCCCGCCCCAACUCCAUUUAGUGACUCUGACAGUUGGCAGUGUGAACCUAGAGAUCCACAAUGGCUUCAUCCUCGGGAAGAUUCAGCUACCCAGGCCCAAGAUGGCCCCCGCAAAUGACACAUAUGAAAGCAUCUUCAGUCACUUCCGAGAGUAUGAGAUUGCCAUUCGCAAGGUGCCGGGAAACUUCACGUUCACACACAAGAAAGUAAAACAUGAAAACUUCAGCCUCCUAACCUCUGGAGAAGUGGGAGAGUUCUGUGUCCAGGUGAAACCAUCUGUCGCUUCCCGAAGUAACAAGGGGAUGUGGUCUAAAGAGGAGUGCGUCUCCCUCACCAGGCAGUGUGAGUCAGCUGAGCUGCUCUCAGCAUGGGGAGGGAGACUGGGAGGGCCUGGUGCAAU